GACGAACGCUGGCGGCGUGCCUAAUACAUGCAAGUUGAGCGCUGAAGGUUGGUACUUGUACCGACUGGAUGAGCAGCGAACGGGUGAGUAACGCGUGGGGAAUCUGCCUUUGAGCGGGGGACAACAUUUGGAAACGAAUGCUAAUACCGCAUAAAAACUUUAAACACAAGUUUUAAGUUUGAAAGAUGCAAUUGCAUCACUCAAAGAUGAUCCCGCGUUGUAUUAGCUAGUUGGUGAGGUAAAGGCUCACCAAGGCGAUGAUACAUAGCCGACCUGAGAGGGUGAUCGGCCACAUUGGGACUGAGACACGGCCCAAACUCCUACGGGAGGCAGCAGUAGGGAAUCUUCGGCAAUGGACGAAAGUCUGACCGAGCAACGCCGCGAGAGUGAAGAAGGUUUUCGGAUCGUAAAACUCUGUUGGUAGAGAAGAACGUUGGUGAGAGUGGAAAGCUCAUCAAGUGACGGUAACUACCCAGAAAGGGACGGCUAACUACGUG
rnacentral:rRNA from 1 species